GUGGUCUUGGCUCACUGAAACCUCCACCUCCCAUGUUCAAGCAAUUCAUGUGCCUCAGCUUCCUGAGUAGCUGGGAUUACAGGUGCAUGCCACCAUGCCCGGCUGAUUUUUGUAUUUUUAGUAGAGACGGGGUCUCUCCAUGUUGGCUAGACUGGUCUCGAGCUCCUGGCCUCAAGUGAUCCAGCCACCUCAACCUCCCAAAGUGCUGGAAUUACAGAUAUGAGCCACCAUGUCUGGCCAUAAUGCUACAUAUUGAGUCAAGUUUUAGCCAUUUGAAUGGAAGUUUAACCAUAACCUGUUGUUGACCAUUAGUUUGUUCCCAGUUUAUCACUUUAUGUAUACCAAAAUAAGCAUCUUUCUGUGUAUAUGUUUAUUUCUUUUAUGGAAUUAAUAUCUGGGGAUAAAUUUUCAGGAAUACAGUUGCUGAGUCUUAGGGCACUGACUUCUUUUUAAGCUUUUGAUGUCUUCUCAUUUUGCUUUCCAAAGGCCUGUUGCUGACAGUGUCACUGGCAUUGUAUGAAUCUAUUCUACAACCUCAUACUUGUUUUGUUUAUUUUGUGGACUCAGCAGAUGUAAAAUAGUACACCAAGUUGCUUUUAUGUACAUUUUUUGGUUUAUUUCCUAUAGAUAGUAGUAUGUAUUUUUCAUGAGUUAGUCUGUGUCCUUAUCCAAAUUGCAUAUUUAUUGUACUUUGUCUGGUUAUCUAUUUGACUUUUUUUUUUGGUAAAAAUUUGAAUUUUAUUUUAUAGUAGUUUAUUUUGAUAUGACUUUUUCCUCGGUCUAUUUUUUUUCAGAUCAUCCAUUGAACACAUUCUUUUAUUUUAAUAAAACAUACCAUGUUCAUUUAUGUUUAAAUAACUCAGUCUAAUUUUCUAUUCUUUCAAAGUUUACAAAGUCAUUGCCUCCACAGAGAUUUGAUGAAAAUUAAUUUUUUUAUUUGCCAAGUUUUAAAAAUUAGGUUCUUAAAACAUUUAAUCAUAUGGAAUUUAUUUUAGAUAAGGCAUGAAUCUAAAUUGAUUUUCUUUUAUUUGCAUUAAAUAUUCACUUUUCUGUAUUAAGUCCUCUUACAUUGUAUGGGUGAUUCAGACUUUUAUUUUUGAUUCUUAAAGCCCAUGAUAUCACUUUGUCUUUCUUUCAAAUUAUAUAACAUCACUGGAUAAGACAUUACAUGAAUACAAGAUAUUAGUCACUGAUUUAAGAAUAUUGUCUUACUACAGUCAUUAUUUUGACCCCGAGUCAGACUAGGGUUUGAGCUAUUCUGUGAUUGUGUAUAGAUAGGACUGCUUUGCUGCUUUUUUUUCUGUGAUAAUCUGAUUGAAGUCGUUUAUCUGUAAUUAAAUGAAAUGUAUUUUCAGCACUACCCAGACUUACGUGUAGAGCUUUUUCUGAUAAGCAGUAAAAUCGAUUGCUAUAGAUUCUUCUCAUCUUUUCAAAAUGAGGCCUUUCAGUUUCAAUUGUAGAUUGUAAUUCUUUUAAACCGCACAACAGCCAUAUGUUUUUUAUUGUAUGGGUUUGGAAAUUUUACACAUUUAUUUCAUAGUGAUACUCUCUGGCUCAGCGUGUUUUAUUUUCUUCAUUUAAUUUGUUUUGUUGCUUUCCCUUUUUGGGCUUUGUUAAUUACUCUAGAAAGGACCUGUGGAGUUAAUCUAAAACUGCCAUUUUACAGUUGAGAAACAGAAGAACUAAACUUACCUGGCCAAGAUCACACACCUAGCAGGGUGGUGUCUGUGAUCUUACUCCCAGGCCUAUGGUCCUUCUUCGUAUGACACUGCUACAUACUCUCAUUCUUGAAGUAUAAAUCGUAAGUGAUGGCUAUCGGUAUGUGCAACAGUUAGAUUAAAAUAGUCCCG
rnacentral:lncRNA from 1 species